rnacentral:rRNA from 1 species
UACGGGGGGAGCAAGCGUUGUUCGGAUUUACUGGGCGUAAAGGGCGCGUAGGCGGCCACCGCAAGUCGACUGUGAAAUCUCCGGGCUUAACCCGGAAAGGUCAGCCGAUACUGCGGGGCCAGAGUGCAGAAGGGGCAACUGGAAUUCUCGGUGUAGCGGUGAAAUGCGUAGAUAUCGAGAGGAACACCUGCGGCGAAGGCGGGUUGCUGGGCUGACACUGACGCUGAUGCGCGAAAGCUAGGGGAGCGAACGGG